UACGAAGGGUGCAAGCGUUACUCGGAAUUACUGGGCGUAAAGCGUGCGUAGGUGGUUUGUUAAGUCUGAUGUGAAAGCCCUGGGCUCAACCUGGGAAUUGCAUUGGAUACUGGCAGGCUAGAGUGCGGUAGAGGGUAGUGGAAUUCCCGGUGUAGCAGUGAAAUGCGUAGAGAUCGGGAGGAACAUCAGUGGCGAAGGCGGCCAUCUGGGACAACACUGACGCUGAGGCACGAAAGCGUGGGGAGCAAACAGG
rnacentral:rRNA from 1 species